rnacentral:sRNA from 1 species
GAAUGGUCUUUAUGCGGCGGCUCACAACUCACCCAUCCCAACCAGUUACAGAUUUCUUUGCUGCUUCUCCACUCCCACCGCUUCACUUGACAAGCCUUUG